rnacentral:rRNA from 1 species
UCCUACGGGAGGCAGCAGUGGGGAAUUUUCCGCAAUGGGCGAAAGCCUGACGGAGCAAUACCGCGUGAGGGAAGACGGCCUAUGGGUUGUAAACCUCUUUUUUCAGGGAGGAAUUUUGACGUGUACCUGAAGAAUAAGCAUCGGCUAACUCCGUGCCAGCAGCCGCGGUAAGACGGAGGAUGCAAGUGUUAUCCGGAAUCACUGGGCGUAAAGCGUCUGUAGGUGGUUUAAUAAGUCAACUGUUAAAUCUUGAGGCUCAACUUCAAAAUCGCAGUCGAAACUAUUAGACUAGAGUAUAGUAGAGGUAAAGGGAAUUUCCAGUGGAGCGGUGAAAUGCGUAGAUAUUGGAAAGAACACCGAUGGCGAAGGCACUUUACUGGGCUAUUACUGACACUCAGAGACGAAAGCUAGGGUAGCAAAUGGGAUUAGAUACCCCAGUAGUCCUAGCCGUAAACAAUGGAUACUAGAUGUUGAACAGAUCGACCUGUGCAGUAUCAAAGCUAACGCGUUAAGUAUCCCGCCUGGGAAGUAUGCUCGCAAGAGUGAAACUCAAAGGAAUUGACGGA